CCUUUAAGUCAGGUCUCUGUCAAAAAAAUAGAAAAUCCAAAUUGUAGGUUGCAAUAAAAUAAUUUAAAAUAACAAUAGUUAGAGAUGAUUGGCCAGACCUAAGAGGGGGGCUUGGCCGUGACGUCAUCCGUGUUGUUGACACCAGGUGAUCGCAUAACCAGGUGCAGCUUUCAGGUGAUGAGCAGCAGAGGAACCUCAUGGCCUGCAUCGUGGGAAGACAAUCUGGUUUGCAGGAGCUUGCAACCGUGGGCGCUGGAGAGGGUCAUUGGUGAGGCUUUCAAUGGACUUAAUGCUGGAGAUCUCUGCAGAGAACUUCAUCAAUGUCAAGGUCCCUCAAGGGUUCACACCUCGACCAGGUGGAUCCUCAGCCCUCAACUCCAGCUAAUGUUUUUAGCCUGAAGACAGCUAACCAGCUGGCAGCAACUCUCUGAAUGAAAGACAAGGGAGACAAAAUGCUGAUCAAGAUCCAGGGACAUGCAACACAUGCCAGUACCAAAAAAAAACAACUCCAACCAUUCUUCUGUGCAUACUGUCUGUCAGUUUAUUUUUAUUUUUUAUAAAUCAGGAAGAUAUGAUUUGUUAUGUAACAGCCUGUACAACGCAACACAAAUAAAGAAAACAAUAAAAAUUAAAAUUGUACAAAGCAGCACUGGGCCGUAAAUAACCCAUAUAACAAUAGUUUUCACAUUUUUUGAUCAGAAGUUUUUGUCCUUCUGCCAAACCCCGUAGAUCUUCCACCAGUCAGAUCACAGCUGCUCGUAGAAGGUGAUUGAGCUUCUUCAAUUAUAAUUUUUGAGUU